rnacentral:tmRNA from 1 species
GGGAGUGUUUUGGUAUUCGACACGGUGCGGUCGGGCAAGGUAAGCAUGCCGAAGGCCCGUCUUCGUUAAAACGGAAAAGUUUCAAAAGAAACGACAAAAAUCAAACUUUGGCGUUCGCUGCUUAAUGUGAACUGUCGCGCUGUGGAGCCUACUGUAGCAGUGGCGGCAUCAAAAAGGUGUAGGGAACCGAGUUGCGUCCUGCCGCGUGGCGCAAAACGGAAUUUAGUGGCUUGGGAAGGGUAGCCUGUCUGUGGGUGACCCGCUCCGACACCAAAACACACGACUAAGCAUGUAGAAAGCGUUGUGAGGCUCAUCGCGGACAAGGGUUCAAUCCCCUUCACUUCCACCA